CAGCAGUAGGGAAUCUUCCGCAAUGGACGAAAGUCUGACGGAGCAACGCCGCGUGAGUGAUGAAGGUUUUCGGAUCGUAAAACUCUGUUGUUAGGGAARAACAAGUACGAGAGUAACUGCUCGUACCUUGACGGUACCUAACCAGAAAGCCACGGCUAACUACGUGCCAGCAGCCGCGGUAAUACGUAGGUGGCAAGCGUUGUCCGGAAUUAUUGGGCGUAAAGCGCGCGCAGGCGGUCCUUUAAGUCUGAUGUGAAAGCCCACGGCUCAACCGUGGAGGGUCAUUGGAAACUGGGGGACUUGAGUGCAGGAGAGAAGAGUGGAAUUCCACGUGUAGCGGUGAAAUGCGUAGAGAUGUGGAGGAACACCAGUGGCGAAGGCGACUCUUUGGCCUGUAACUGACGCUGAGGCGCGAAAGCGUGGGGAGCAAACAGGAUUAGAUACCCUG
rnacentral:rRNA from 1 species